rnacentral:rRNA from 1 species
CCUACGGGCGGCAGCAGUGGGGAAUAUUGCACAAUGGGGGAAACCCUGAUGCAGCGACGCCGCGUGAGUGAAGAAGUAUUUCGGUAUGUAAAGCUCUAUCAGCAGGGAAGAAAAUGACGGUACCUGACUAAGAAGCCCCGGCUAACUACGUGCCAGCAGCCGCGGUAAUACGUAGGGGGCAAGCGUUAUCCGGAUUUAAUGGGUGAAAAGGGAGCGUAGACGGCCAGACAAGUCAGAAGUGAAAGCCCAGGGCUCAACCCUGGGACUGCUUUGAAAACUGCCGGGCUGGGGUGCAGGAGAGGUAAGCGGAAUUCCUAGUGUAGCGGUGAAAGGCGUAGAUAUUAGGAGGAACACCAGUGGCGAAGGCGGCUUACGGGACUGUAACUGACGUUGAGGCUCGAAAGCGUGGGAGCAAACAGGAUUAGAUACCCGUGUAGUC